UCCUGGAUAGUUCAAUUGGUCAGAAUGUAGGGCCUUCGUAUACCGGGUACUGCUGCAAGUUGCUGACAGAUGAUGACAGAUCUGCUCGUCUUUCGUAGCAACGAUAGCGUGGAUGAUGGAGGUUCAAAUCCUUCUCCGGGAG